GCUUGCUGCUUCCUGACGAGUGGCGGACGGGUGAGUAAUGUCUGGGAAACUGCCUGAUGGAGGGGGAUAACUACUGGAAACGGAAGCUAAUACCGCAUAACGUCGCAAGACCAUAGAGGGGGACCUUCGGGCCUCUUGCCAUCGGAUGUGCCCAGAUGGGAUUAGCUAGUAGGUGGGGUAACGGCUCACCUAGGCGACGAUCCCUAGCUGGUCUGAGAGGAUGACCAGCCACACUGGAACUGAGACACGGUCCAGACUCCUACGGGAGGCAGCAGUGGGGAAUAUUGCACAAUGGGCGCAAGCCUGAUGCAGCCAUGCCGCGUGUAUGAAGAAGGCCUUCGGGUUGUAAAGUACUUUCAGCGGGGAGGAAGGGAGUAAAGUUAAUACCUUUGCUCAUUGACGUUACCCGCAGAAAAAGCACCGGCUAACUCCGUGCCAGCAGCCGCGGUAAUACGGAGGGUGCAAGCGUUAAUCGGAAUUACUGGGCGUAAAGCGCACGCAGGCGGUUUGUUAAGUCAGAUGUGAAAUCCCCGGGCUCACCUGGGAACUGCAUCUGAUACUGGCAAGCUUGAGUCUCGUAAAGGGGGGUAGAAUUCCAUGAGUAGCGGU
rnacentral:rRNA from 1 species